UACGUAGGGUGCAAGCGUUAAUCGGAAUUACUGGGCGUAAAGCGUGCGCAGGCGGCUUUUUAAGUCAGAUGUGAAAUCCCCGGGCUCAACCUGGGAACUGCAUUUGUGACUGUAGAGCUGGAGUGCGGCAGAGGGGGAUGGAAUUCCGCGUGUAGCAGUGAAAUGCGUAGAUAUGCGGAGGAACACCGAUGGCGAAGGCAGCCUCCUGGGCCAACACUGACGCUCAUGCACGAAAGCGUGGGGAGCAAACAGG
rnacentral:rRNA from 1 species